AUUGAACGCUGGCGGCAGGCCUAACACAUGCAAGUCGAGCGGAUGAAGGGAGCUUGCUCCUGGAUUCAGCGGCGGACGGGUGAGUAAUGCCUAGGAAUCUGCCUGGUCGUGGGGGAUAACGUCCGGAAACGGGCGCUAAUACCGCAUACGUCCUGAGGGUGAAAGUGAGGGUUCUUCGGACCUCACGCUAUUAGCUGAGCCUAGGUCGGAUUAGCUAGUUGGUGGGGUAAAGGCCUACCAAGGCGACGAUCCGUAACUGGUCUGAGAGGCUGAUCAGUCAAACUGGAACUGAGACACGGUCCAGACUCCUACGGGAGGCAGCAGUGGGGAAUAUUGGACAAUGGGCGAAAGCCUGAUCCAGCCAUGCCGCGUGUGUGAAGAAGGUCUUCGGAUGGUAAAGCACGUUAAGUGGGGAGGAAGGGCAGUAAGUUAAAACCUUGCUGUUUUGACGUUACCAACAGAGAAAGCACCGGCUAACUUCGUG
rnacentral:rRNA from 1 species